rnacentral:rRNA from 1 species
CACUCCUACGGGAGGCAGCAGUGGGGAAUUUUGGACCAUGGGCGAAAGCCUGACCCAGCAAUGCCGCGUGAGUGAAGAAGGCCUUCGGGUUGUAAAGCUCUUUUGUCAGGGAAGAAACGGUGAAAGCUAAUAUCUUUUGCUAAUGACGGUACCUGAAGAAUAAGCACCGGCUAACUACGUGCCAGCAGCCGCGGUAAUACGUAGGGUGCAAGCGUUAAUCGGAAUUACUGGGCGUAAAGCGUGCGCAGGCGGUUUUGUAAGUCUGAUGUGAAAUCCCCGGGCUCAACCUGGGAAUUGCAUUGGAGACUGCAAGGCUAGAAUCUGGCAGAGGGGGGUAGAAUUCCACGUGUAGCAGUGAAAUGCGUAGAUAUGUGGAGGAACACCGAUGGCGAAGGCAGCCCCCUGGGUCAAGAUUGACGCUCAUGCACGAAAGCGUGGGGAGCAAACAGGAUUAGAUACCCGUGUAGUCCCAU